CUUGGGUUUGCUUGAAAGACGGUAGUGGUAAGGCGGGAUCGCUUUGACAAUGGCUUAGGUCUAACCAAAAACAUUGCUUGCGGCGGUAACGUCCACCACGUAUAUCUUCAAACUUUGACCUCAAAUCAGGUAGGACUACCCGCUGAACUUAAGCAUAUCAAUAAGCGGAGGAAAAGAAACCAACAGGGAUUGCCUCAGUAGCGGCGAGUGAAGCGGCAAAAGCUCAAAUUUGAAAUCUGGCGUCUUUGGCGUCCGAGUUGUAAUUUGAAGAAGGUAUCUUUGGGCCCGGCUCUUGUCUAUGUUCCUUGGAACAGGACGUCACAGAGGGUGAGAAUCCCGUGCGAUGAGAUGACCCGGGUCUGUGUAAAGUUCCUUCGACGAGUCGAGUUGUUUGGGAAUGCAGCUCUAAGUGGGUGGUAAAUUCCAUCUAAAGCUAAAUAUUGGCGAGAGACCGAUAGCGAACAAGUACAGUGAUGGAAAGAUGAAAAGAACUUUGAAAAGAGAGUGAAAAAGUACGUGAAAUUGUUGAAAGGGAAGGGCUUGAGAUCAGACUUGGUAUUUUGCAUGCUGCUCUCUCGGGGGCGGCCGCUGCGGUUUACCGGGCCAGCAUCGGUUUGGAGCGGCAGGAUAAUGGCGGAGGAAUGUGGCACGGCUUCUGCUGUGUGUUAUAGCCUCUGACGAUACUGCCAGCCUAGACCGAGGACUGCGGUUUUUACCUAGGAUGUUGGCAUAAUGAUCUUAAGUCGCCCGUCUUGAAACACGGACCAAGGAGUCUAACGUCUAUGCGAGUGUUUGGGUGUAAAA
rnacentral:rRNA from 1 species